AGAGUUUGAUCCUGGCUCAGGAUGAACGCUGGCGGCGUGCCUAACACAUGCAAGUCGAACGGGGUCUUAGUACGGAAGUUUUAGGAUGGAAGGAUUAAGACUUAGUGGCGGACGGGUGAGUAACGCGUGGGUAACCUCGCCCUGUACGAGGGGAUAACAGUUAGGAAACGGCUGACUAAACCGCAUAACAUGGAGAUACCGCAUGAAUAUUUCCAUACAAAUUAUUUAGUAGGUACGAGGAGUCGGGCCCGCGUCUGAUUACGCCAGGUUGGCAGGUAAUGGCCUACCAAAGCGACGAUCAGUAGCCGGCUUGAGAGAGUGACCGGCCACAUUGGGACUGAGACACGGCCCAAACUCCUACGGGAGGCAGCAGUGGGGGAUAUUGCACAAUGGGGGAAACCCUGAUGCAGCGACGCCGCGUGAGUGAAGAAGUAUUUCGGUAUGUAAAGCUCUAUCAGCAGGGAAGAAAAUGACGGUACCUGACUAAGAAGCCCCGGCUAACUACGUG
rnacentral:rRNA from 1 species